rnacentral:rRNA from 1 species
UGACCUCGGAUCAUGUAGGGAUACCCGCUGA